UGCAACAAACAGAAGGGACCUGCCAACUCAUAGCUGAACCACCAGGGCAGGACCGUUGGUGCCAGCCCAGGAUGUGACGGUGGUUGAGGGGCGGCUGACGUCCAUCAGGGCUCCAGCCCAGAACAUCCACUCUACAUAGUUACCACCAUGUGCCCCGAAGGACCAGAGGAAUCCACCUCCCAGUCCUGGCAGGGUGACCAGGAGCAGGAAACCUUGCAGGCAGCUGGAAGAGCAUGACCCGCAAUGGGAACACAGAGGCUCAGAGUACCUUCCCUCAAGAUCUCACACAGAGAAAGCAUAGGGAGUCAGACCUUCAUCCCAGCUGUCUGGCUUUUCCUAGAAGUUGCUUCCCCCUCUGCAGUACAUCCACUGCAUUGAGCCUGUCCUCUCUGGGUCUCCGCAAAAAGACACAGCUGGGAACCGCGAAGGACACCAAGCCAGAAGCAGAAGAGGGGGACUUGGAGGUAGGAAAGCCAGCCCAUGGGGAAAAAAAGAAUGCUGAGGCCCAGGGCACCGGGGCCAAAUUUCUGCCAUUCAGAGGAGCCCAGUCACGCAGUCCUGCCAAGUUCUGCUGUGCCCUGCCAAACAUUAUUGUCUUGGAGGAACAACACCACUAAAUUCCAUUGUCCUUGGGAGGGCUCUGCAGACCCUCCAGUGUCAAUGGAAGUGUCUGUGUUAGAUCCACAGAGCUCAGAGGGAGAAGGAGCAGGUCCUGUGUGGGCACCCAACAGUCUUAUUACAUACAAUUCUCAAAACAGCCUCUUUCAACAGAGGAGCCUAAGAAAGUGAGGGCACUUGCUCACAGCCUCACGACAUUGGUGGAAUAUUAUUGCAAGGGCUCCCCAAAUUUUCCCCAUCAGAAGGCUCCUGAGCCCUGACUAGCCAAGGGGAGACUGCAGGUGGCUUAAAGAUCCACCCAGUAAAGCCCUCUAAUGUCCCGUCUGAGGGUCCCUGAUUUGGCAAGCCGCACCCUAGGUAGGCCCAAAAUGUUUCCCCAUCUCUCACCUCUUUGGGGACAGGGAAUAAAGUCAUCAACAAUCACAAAUCUGCAAUUAAUAAAAAUGAUGUGAAGUGGCUCUUAUGAAUAUGAUCAUAAUACAUUCAGGGUUACAAAUACAUUCAGGUUACAAAAUAACAUGUGCAAUAUGAUCUCAUUUGAAAAUUGCAUAGAAA